AAGCACCUCUCCUCCCCAGCAGCGAGCAGCCUUUUAUUCGGACAUGUCUGGAACUCUCCAAACCACCAAGCCAUCACUGUCCUAACACAUAGCAUUUACUGAGUACUUACUAUGGCCUCGGUGCAGGGAUUUUCCUGGGACUUUUCUCGUCUGAUCCCCACAACAAUCCAGUUGGAUUAAGUACCAUUAUUAUCUGUGUUACAGAUGGGGCAGUGGAGCUUCAGAAGGGCUAACUAGCCAGUUCAGAGCUACUGUGAGGUUUCCAGAGUCCCUUUCAGUGCCGUGGCUCAAGGAACGAACAUCAGAGCCAUGGAAAAGCAGCAGAUCACCCAGUCUCCAGUCUCCUCGCCGAGGUCUUCCAGAGAAAGCAGCCCCAGCUGCAUUCACUAGAGUCUCUCUUGGCCUUAUGUCCCAAUCACCUUUACCCUCCCUCUCCUUGUCUCCACUGCACACCCCUCCCCCGCUUCCCUUCAGCUUUGCUUUCCUGCUCUCUUUCUUUCCACAGGCAUGUGAUUGUUUAGAGCUUCUCCAUGUCGGCUCUGGCUGGCUCACAAAAAGAUCUUAUAGCUAUGAACAUCGAUGUAUAAGUUUUUGUGUACACUAUACACUGAGGAAUGGAACUGCUGGUCAUCUAGUCACUAUACGUCCAGCCUUUUGAGGAAUGAGCACUGCUUUUCACAACGGCUGUACCAUUUUACCCUCCCACGGGCAGCGUAUGAAGGUCUGGAGUUCGCCAUAUUCUCCACAGCACUUAACAGAUCUGCUCGACCAGAUGACAAACCCAGCACCUUCCCAGGCAGCCCUCGGGUGGCUGAUGGUGGUGAAGAAUUCCUGUGUUACAAAGUUCUGCAUUAAGAAAGGUCCUGAGAGGCCCACCAUUGGUGACUUAGCCUCUGGCCUCCUCUCUUGGGGAAGGGUAGAAGGUCUCGGGCAGGAAGAGGAGCCAGGAGGAGGGUCCAGUGAUACAACACAGGCCCGGAGAGCUGGCGAGCCUUGAGGAAAACAUUAGUUCAGUUCCAUGUCAUGUGGAUAUGAGGCAGAGGAGGAAGAGGACACAGAAGAUGAUGCAGGUGACCCCGAUGUGGAUGCCGAUGACGAUGCCUGUGGUAGACGUCUGGUUGCUGGGCUCCUCCUUCCGGCAGUCACACGGUGGGCUCAGGGCUAUGGGCAGGGGAAGGGAGGGAGCUGUGGCUCUCUGGCCUGAAGCCCCUGUGGACACCCAGCUUCUGGGGGCUCCUCCUUCCUCAGCUGUACCCGCCUCCAUGUCUACAUGGGACCCCAGCCCAACUUUUUUUGGCUCUCUUUACAAGUUACUGAAUACUGACUUUGUGCCCAAUACUGGGAAUAACACUUAUACACCAUUGAUGAAAGGACCAUUUGAUCCUUACCAUGGCUUUAUAAAGUCCCUGUUUUAUAGAGGACAAAACUGGGGCUCAGGUUAAGUAACUUGCUCACGGUCACACAGCUAGAACGUCAUACCACCGAAUCUCAAACUCAGCUCUAGGCCCGUGUUCUCAAGGGCUCCAUGUGCAGUUACACUCUUACGCUCUCCCACCUUCCCAGUGUCCCUGUCCCCCUCCUGCCCCCGCCCCCUCCCAGAGCCUGGCCUCCCUUCCUGAGCACCACUUUUGAGCCCCGCAACCGCUCCCCAACCUACCUGUCCUCUCAGAGGCUCCCCUCAAGGACACGAAGCGGACUGUGGCAUUGCCCUCCCCGUGCUGGUUGUAGGCAAGCAGCUUCACCUCAUAUACUGUAGUGGGGUCUGAGGGAAAGGCAGUGCUGUGCUGAGUGACCUCCCCAGGCCCCAGCGGCAGCUCUGGUGCAGCAGGGCAACAGAGGUGACCCCCACAUCCCACCUCCUGGCACCGGGCACCACACUCCUGCCCGCUCCCCCAGCGCGGUCUGCGUCCGGCUCACCAAGCUGGCUGAGGUUGUAGGAGGAGGCGGUUGCAGGCAGCAGGAUGGGGCCGGUGAAGGAGGCU